rnacentral:rRNA from 1 species
UUAAGCGACUAAGCGUACACGGUGGAUGCCCUGGCAGUCAGAGGCGAUGAAGGACGUGCUAAUCUGCGAUAAGCGUCGGUGAGGUGAUAUGAACCGUUAUAACCGGCGAUUUCCGAAUGGGGAAACCCAGUGUGUUUCGACACACUAUCAUUAACUGAAUCCAUAGGUUAAUGAGGCGAACCGGGGGAACUGAAACAUCUAAGUACCCCGAGGAAAAGAAAUCAACCGAGAUUCCCCCAGUAGCGGCGAGCGAACGGGGAGGAGCCCAGAGCCUGAAUCAGUGUGUGUGUUAGUGGAAGCGUCUGGAAAGGCGCGCGAUACAGGGUGACAGCCCCGUACACAAAAAUGCACAUACUGUGAGCUCGAUGAGUAGGGCGGGACACGUGGUAUCCUGUCUGAAUAUGGGGGGACCAUCCUCCAAGGCUAAAUACUCCUGACUGACCGAUAGUGAACCAGUACCGUGAGGGAAAGGCGAAAAGAACCCCGGCGAGGGGAGUGAAAAAGAACCUGAAACCGUGUACGUACAAGCAGUGGGAGCCUCUUAAUGGGGUGACUGCGUACCUUUUGUAUAAUGGGUCAGCGACUUAUAUUCUGUAGCAAGGUUAACCGAAUAGGGGAGCCGAAGGGAAACCGAGUCUUAACUGGGCGUUAAGUUGCAGGGUAUAGACCCGAAACCCGGUGAUCUAGCCAUGGGCAGGUUGAAGGUUGGGUAACACUAACUGGAGGACCGAACCGACUAAUGUUGAAAAAUUAGCGGAUGACUUGUGGCUGGGGGUGAAAGGCCAAUCAAACCGGGAGAUAGCUGGUUCUCCCCGAAAGCUAUUUAGGUAGCGCCUCGUGAAUUCAUCUCCGGGGGUAGAGCACUGUUUCGGCAAGGGGGUCAUCCCGACUUACCAACCCGAUGCAAACUGCGAAUACCGGAGAAUGUUAUCACGGGAGACACACGGCGGGUGCUAACGUCCGUCGUGAAGAGGGAAACAACCCAGACCGCCAGCUAAGGUCCCAAAGUCAUGGUUAAGUGGGAAACGAUGUGGGAAGGCCCAGACAGCCAGGAUGUUGGCUUAGAAGCAGCCAUCAUUUAAAGAAAGCGUAAUAGCUCACUGGUCGAGUCGGCCUGCGCGGAAGAUGUAACGGGGCUAAACCAUGCACCGAAGCUGCGGCAGCGACGCUUAUGCGUUGUUGGGUAGGGGAGCGUUCUGUAAGCCUGUGAAGGUGUGCUGUGAGGCAUGCUGGAGGUAUCAGAAGUGCGAAUGCUGACAUAAGUAACGAUAAAGCGGGUGAAAAGCCCGCUCGCCGGAAGACCAAGGGUUCCUGUCCAACGUUAAUCGGGGCAGGGUGAGUCGACCCCUAAGGCGAGGCCGAAAGGCGUAGUCGAUGGGAAACAGGUUAAUAUUCCUGUACUUGGUGUUACUGCGAAGGGGGGACGGAGAAGGCUAUGUUGGCCGGGCGACGGUUGUCCCGGUUUAAGCGUGUAGGCUGGUUUUCCAGGCAAAUCCGGAAAAUCAAGGCUGAGGCGUGAUGACGAGGCACUACGGUGCUGAAGCGACAAAUGCCCUGCUUCCAGGAAAAGCCUCUAAGCAUCAGGUAACAUUAAAUCGUACCCCAAACCGACACAGGUGGUCAGGUAGAGAAUACCAAGGCGCUUGAGAGAACUCGGGUGAAGGAACUAGGCAAAAUGGUGCCGUAACUUCGGGAGAAGGCACGCUGAUAUGUAGGUGAAGCGACUUGCUCGUGGAGCUGAAAUCAGUCGAAGAUACCAGCUGGCUGCAACUGUUUAUUAAAAACACAGCACUGUGCAAACACGAAAGUGGACGUAUACGGUGUGACGCCUGCCCGGUGCCGGAAGGUUAAUUGAUGGGGUUAGCGGCAACGCGAAGCUCUUGAUCGAAGCCCCGGUAAACGGCGGCCGUAACUAUAACGGUCCUAAGGUAGCGAAAUUCCUUGUCGGGUAAGUUCCGACCUGCACGAAUGGCGUAAUGAUGGCCAGGCUGUCUCCACCCGAGACUCAGUGAAAUUGAACUCGCUGUGAAGAUGCAGUGUACCCGCGGCAAGACGGAAAGACCCCGUGAACCUUUACUAUAGCUUGACACUGAACAUUGAGCCUUGAUGUGUAGGAUAGGUGGGAGGCUUUGAAGUGUGGACGCCAGUCUGCAUGGAGCCGACCUUGAAAUACCACCCUUUAAUGUUUGAUGUUCUAACGUGGGCCCGUAAUCCGGGUUGCGGACAGUGUCUGGUGGGUAGUUUGACUGGGGCGGUCUCCUCCUAAAGAGUAACGGAGGAGCACGAAGGUUGGCUAAUCCUGGUCGGACAUCAGGAGGUUAGUGCAAUGGCAUAAGCCAGCUUGACUGCGAGCGUGACGGCGCGAGCAGGUGCGAAAGCAGGUCAUAGUGAUCCGGUGGUUCUGAAUGGAAGGGCCAUCGCUCAACGGAUAAAAGGUACUCCGGGGAUAACAGGCUGAUACCGCCCAAGAGUUCAUAUCGACGGCGGUGUUUGGCACCUCGAUGUCGGCUCAUCACAUCCUGGGGCUGAAGUAGGUCCCAAGGGUAUGGCUGUUCGCCAUUUAAAGUGGUACGCGAGCUGGGUUUAGAACGUCGUGAGACAGUUCGGUCCCUAUCUGCCGUGGGCGCUGGAGAACUGAGGGGGGCUGCUCCUAGUACGAGAGGACCGGAGUGGACGCAUCACUGGUGUUCGGGUUGUCAUGCCAAUGGCACUGCCCGGUAGCUAAAUGCGGAAGAGAUAAGUGCUGAAAGCAUCUAAGCACGAAACUUGCCCCGAGAUGAGUUCUCCCUGACCCUUUAAGGGUCCUGAAGGAACGUUGAAGACGACGACGUUGAUAGGCCGGGUGUGUAAGCGCAGCGAUGCGUUGAGCUAACCGGUACUAAUGAACCGUGAGGCUUAACCUU